UGCCUACUAGUGCACAUCUUGACCUCACUAAGGAUGAUGCACCCAUUGAUCAAAAGGUUUAUCGAUCAAUGGUUGGAUCAUUGUUAUAUCUAUGUGCCUCUCGUCUUGAUAUCAUGCUAAGUGUUUGCAUGUGUGCCUUCUAUCAAGCAGCACCUAAAGAGUGUCAUCUAUUGGCUGUGAAAAGGAUAGUGAGAUACCUCAUACAUAUUGUUGGGGGACGCCACACGGGAAAAAAAAUCCUACGCGCACACAAGAUCUAUCCAUGAUGAUGACCAUCUACGAGAGGGGAGAGUGCAUCUACAUACCAUUGUAGACCGCUAAGAGGAAAUGUAUAUAACGUGGUUGAUGUAGUCAUACGUCUUCGCGAUCCAAUCACUAUCCAUCCUGCGAUCUCAUCACGAUCCGUCCCACGAUCUCAUCACGAUUCGUCCCAUGAUCUCAUCAUGAUCCUUCCGAUCUAGUGCCGAACGGAUGGCACCUCCGCGUUAAGCACACGUACGGCUUGAUGACGUCUCCUCCUUCUUGAUCCAGAAAGAGAGGAAGGAGAAGUAGAUGGGAUCUCAACCAGCACUACGACAUGGUGGAGAUGAUGGUGGAGCAAUGCCAGCAGGGCUUCGCCAAGCGCUGCCGGAACCGAUCUGAGGCGAAAACGGAGUUAUGGGAGAGGUAGGAUUGCCACCGGG
rnacentral:lncRNA from 1 species